UUGCUUCAGAGGCAUGUAUAUUAAAAUUGGAACACUACAGAGAAGAUUAGCAUGGCCCCAUAUGCAAGGAUGACACACAAAUCUGUGAAGUGUUCCAUAUUUUA